rnacentral:rRNA from 1 species
UACGUAGGGGGCAAGCGUUGUCCGGAUUUAUUGGGCGUAAAGAGCGUGUAGGCGGCCAUACAGGUCAGCUGUGAAAACUCGAGGCUCAACCUCGAGACGUCGGUUGAAACCGUAUGGCUAGAGUCCGGAAGAGGAGAGUGGAAUUCCCGGUGUAGCGGUGAAAUGCGCAGAUAUCGGGAAGAACACCCGUGGCGAAGGCGGCUCUCUGGGACGGUACUGACGCUG